GGCUCGGUGGCGGAUGGUCCGCACCUGUAUUCAAUAUUUGGUGAUAAUAUCCUGAGGCAGGAAAUGCCCGUUCGACUCGGGCCCGAGUCA